ensembl:lncRNA
UCUCUUUUUCUUCUCUUUUUAUAGUUUCUCUCCAUCCCUUUGUAGUGAACUCAUGCUGCAUUUUCUGUGAAAUCAGUCAGUCAGAUUGGAUCUUGUUGUUCUCUAUAGGCUCCUGUGGGCGUCAGACUAAUUAUGAACCUUCCUCCAGUUGCAUUCUGGGUAACCGUCAGCUUGUGUCAUUGCAGGUUGAGAUGUCAGUCACCUUUAACUGUGAACGGCCCUCAGUGACGGUGACACCAGCACUUACUGGAUUGAGACACGUUCAUCUGUUACCAUGGUUCUCCGUGUGAUUGACAGCGGAGCGGAGCUGAUGGAGAGAGUCUCAGGAAGCCGAGCAGCGCUGAACUUUACACAAAUGAGAGGAGAGCGGGACGUGACGUCUGCCAAAAUCUGCUGAUGCUGCAGCACAAACCCUGCAGAUAAGUUUCUAUCCGUCUGAGAGUUAUAAACAGAGUUUCUGCUGUUUGACCUGCGAGGAACUGAAUCAUAUGCAGCUUUAAUCUGCGUUUUACAUUCACUCCACAGAUUGCGUCCCGAGGCAACUAGGAAUUACACAAGCUUCAGUCUGCAACAUUUAAUCGCAACAUAUAAUCACUGCAGUUAAUAGAGUUCACCGUCAACUAACUGCAUGUUUCUUACUGUACAUUUCUGUCAUAGUCACCACCAAAAACAUAUAAUCGUAUUUGCACACCUCAUAUUUUAACAUCUUUGAAAUGCUAUUAUAGUUUUUGUUCAUAUUUUGAAUCAGGGUUUUUAUAGUUUAACUAAAACUCAAACCAUAAAAAACAUUUACGUUACUUUUUUAUUUUUGUAUUUAUUUUAGCUAGUGGUCAAGGCGACAUUUCUCAUGUUUGUUUAGUUUAGCUGCAUGUACUAAAAUAACUAACACUAAAACUGAAAUAAAAACUAUAUAGACAAAAAAAAUGUAAAUAAA